ensembl:lncRNA
AUGGGAAGAACAUGGGGGCUGCGUGGGCCCUGCUCCCUGCCCCUCUUUGGACCAGGUUGCCAUUAUGUGGAACCCGGGGGCUUCCAGCAGCUGUUCCCACCUCCCCUGCCGCCACAAGCUUUGAAGGUGGCCUUGCCCGAGGCCCCAGCGGACGUCUCCAGGGAGCUGCAGCCAGACAGCAGGCAGUGCCUACGGGUAGAGAGACACCCUCCAGCCGGCCUCCCUCCACCCCCAGCCCCACGACAGCAAAUGGGCUCCUCCAGGGUCUUCAGCCAGGUGUCCAGGCCUCUCCUGCCGAGGCCGUGUCAUUGGGAGGUGGCCCAGUCAGGCUGGCAGAAAAAAGGACCAACAGGGCCCAACUGGCAGGUCCCGAUACAGGGACCACUUCAGAGGUGGUUCAAGGAGCCGAGCCCUAGGGUGGGAGGCCUGGGACCAGCCCUGGGGGGAGAGCGAUGGCCCCAGGCCUGGAGGGCCAGAGGGAGCGGCUGGUACGCCCUGCAGGGGGUGUGGGAAGAAACCGGGAAGCGGGGCCCUGGUAGUGCAGGCUGCAGGCAGGGCUGUGGAGGCAGGGCGGCUUGCCCCGCGCAGCUUCUUCCUGGCCCGGGUGGCCUCCGUGCUCUUCUCUGGGCCAGCUGCGCCGGAGGCCCCGGGAAGAGGCCCCCCUCCCCGUUCUGGCCCUCACGACCUACUCCCCAGCCUGGAAAGUCUGAGCUGGCCCUGCGCGGGCCGGGACACCCUCCGCAGCCUCGCUGGUGGCCUAGUUUCUGCCGGGCGCAGGGGGAAUGUGGGUCAACGUUUGCAAGUCUGGCGCGGGGCCAGAGUCAGUGGAAGGAAAAACACUCAGCGGGGGCUGCCUGGCAGAGGCCUCACCUCACAGCCGGCGGCUCCAACCCCACAGCCGGCGGCUACACCCCACAGCCAGCAGAGGCCGCACCUCACAGCCGGCAGCUCCAAUCCCACAGCCGGGGGUUCCAACCCUACAGUGGGCGGCUCCAACCCCACAGCGGGCAGCCCCACCCCACAGCCAACAGAGGCCGCACCUCACAGCCGGCGGCUCCAACCCCACAGCCGGCAGAGGCCUCACCUCACAGUCUGACGCCUCCAACCCCACAGUCGGCACCUCCAACCCCACAGCUAGCAAAGGCCUCACCUCACAGCCGGCAGAGGCCUCACCUCACAGCGCGGCGCCUCCAACCCCACAGCCAGCAAAGGCCUCAUCACCUCACAGCGGGCAUCUCCAGCCCCACAGCCAGCAAAGGCCUCACCUCACAGCCGAUGGUUCCAGUCUCACGGCCCGCGGUUCCAAUCCCACAACCGGCGGCCCCACCUCACAGCUGGCGCCUCCAACCCCACAGCCAGCAAAGGCCUCACCUCACAGCCAGCAGCUCCAACCCCACAGCUGGAGGUUCAAGCCUCGCAGCCGGCGGUUCCAACCCCACAGCCGGCAGCUGCACCUCACAGCCGGCGGCCCAGGGCCACAGGGAGGGCGCCCCAUGCAGCACCUCCUGCUGGGCUCUGCCCCCACUGCCGUCCUCUGGAGAUGGCCCACGGUUGGUGCCCGUGACUCACUGGCCCACUCCCGCAUCUCCUGCGGCCCCAGGGCAGGUCCCACUGGUGUGUGGCCGGCCUCGCAGGAACCACUUCACUCUCCACCAUCCACUACUCCCACAGGCAACAGAACCGGCCCCCUGGCCCCUUGGUGGGUGCACUAGCUUAGUGGCCCUGGCGGCCCCUUGCCCCUCAGAGGCCAGCCAGCCUCCAGCACCCUCCCUGAGUCCUCAGCCCCUUGGAGGCUGCCAUGGCACCUGA